CUGAGAGGAUGACCAGCCACACUGGAACUGAGACACGGUCCAGACUCCUACGGGAGGCAGCAGUGGGGAAUAUUGCACAAUGGGCGCAAGCCUGAUGCAGCCAUGCCGCGUGUAUGAAGAAGGCCUUCGGGUUGUAAAGUACUUUCAGCGGGGAGGAAGGGAGUAAAGUUAAUACCUUUGCUCAUUGACGUUACCCGCAGAAGAAGCACCGGCUAACUCCGUGCCAGCAGCCGCGGUAAUACGGAGGGUGCAAGCGUUAAUCGGAAUUACUGGGCGUAAAGCGCACGCAGGCGGUUUGUUAAGUCAGAUGUGAAAUCCCCGGGCUCAACCUGGGAACUGCAUCUGAUACUGGCAAGCUUGAGUCUCGUAGAGGGGGGUAGAAUUCCAGGUGUAGCGG
rnacentral:rRNA from 1 species